UAAGAGAAAUUCUAACUACAGUUUGUAACAACAACCUAAGUUUAUAUGGAUUCUUGAAGGCAACAGUAAGAUGGAAGUGAAGGAGGAGAAGAUUAAAUGGGUGACUUUUUGUAGAUAUUUACCAAAAGAGAACACUUGGGGAAAAAAAGGCAAGCAAAUAAUGGAAGUGACCUUUUGAAUAACUGAUGCACAAUUCAGAUUGGCAAGGCUGGCUAGUGAAGGAAAAAUUAAAUUGUGCAACACGUUUCCUUUACUGAAGGAGAGCAAAGAUAGAAGGAAGAAAACAAGACUAGCAGAUGAGGAGAGAAGGCAGCAUCAGCAGAAAAGAGGAAAAAAUUGAAAUGAUAAUGUCUGGGGCUCAGGGAACAGUGAACAUGAGAAAUGGACUGUGACAGAGAUCAGAUGACACAAUGGUCUGCAAACAGAAGAAAGAAAAUGUGAGGAAUCUAAGGAAGAUACAAUUAGCAUCAGAAAGAGGACAGAAACCUCAGCACAUUUGGUUUUAGGAGCAACACAGGAUUGGUGAAAAGCAACAAAAUCCACCUUGGCUGCUGCGAGACAACAACGGACAUUGUAGAGUACCAACUAUAGCCCAGCACAACAAGGAAGAGACACGAAAACCUCAAGCUUCGCUACCGAGCUCCAUUUAUGAGGUCGACCAUGACCAUCCUGGAGAACUGCAACCGGAUUUGGCUUCGUGUCUCCCCUUCCCCAUCCCGGUACGUGCUGCGAUGCUGAACUGUUCUGUGAAACAGCUGCCUCAGCCCACAGCCACCGAGGCGCUCCAGCUGCAAAGGGCUGCAGGAGGAAAAAUUAAACUAAUCCACGUUUGAGAGAUCUGGACGGGCAGACUCAGUCUCAAUUUUUGAGGAGAGUAAGAUGACGGUAGGUGUAUGGGUUGCUUUUACACCCCUGAGCUUUGAAUUGAAUAUUUUACUGAGCAGAGAAAGGGUCUCUCUUUAGGAACAAUUUGUGCUCCUUGAUGAGGUGACUGUCCAGUCAUUUGUCUUCAACGGUUACUCUCAUGGGAAAACAAUGAAUUUUAUUCUAAUUUUACUCAUGGAUAUCUUGUGGAAUUUCCAUAUUCUGAAGUCUUAUCUUCCUAAAGCAAAAGUAGCAAAAUUCCAGAGUGUUUGCUUAGCUCCCCCCAAAAAGUUAUAGCAGUAAUUACAGAAAUAAGCAAUGACUAUCCCAUGAGAAGCUAAAAGUGCUGUAUCUAUCUGUGCUUGUGUGAUCACCUUUGGGUCUUCCAGCUAGCUCCUCACUUCUGAGGAGGAGUAGUUUCCCUGGAGAAUACCUGAGCCAAAGUAGCACCUUCUAAAAAUCAACUUAAAGCCAUUAAAGUUUCCCCUUUCAAAUAGGCAGACUCACAUAUUACAUGCCUGUGAGUUUUCAUUUUGAGGUCAUGAGCAAUGUUAGGUUAAUGAAGAAAUCAUUUCCCUUUCUAUGGGGCUUCCCUUUGGCCCCCGGUGAUUCCUGCAUUGCUGGUGGUGCUGCCUCUAUCAAUCAGCACCCAUAAGAAGUGAGUGGUGGUGUAGGUCUAUGGCCAAGGACUCAGUGGCACAUCUGAAACAGCAGUUAACUACUUUAAAAUGUUUUAAAUCAGAGAGGAGCAUGGCAACGAGAAGGAAGAAAAAAUACCACCCAUACAUAGCAUAAAUGAACCAGAAAGAUGCUCUGUUGGGAUAAAGCUGGUUGGGAAAGGCCUUGAUUUACCAGAGAUAAGGAAAAAAACCUGACCAACAGAAUGGAAAAUGCAGGGAUGCAUUUACCAGGUGAAGCUCAGGGAUGAUUCUGGACCAGCUGGUUGUAGUGCUGUCUUUACAGAAGAAUGGGAUUGCCUUCUAUUGCUUAAGGGAAUAAAUGCUCAGGAGUAAAGAUCA
ensembl:lncRNA